rnacentral:rRNA from 1 species
UAGGGAAUCUUCCGCAAUGGGCGAAAGCCUGACGGAGCAACGCCGCGUGAGUGAUGAAGGUCUUCGGAUCGUAAAACUCUGUUAUUAGGGAAGAACAAAUGUGUAAGUAACUAUGCACGUCUUGACGGUACCUAAUCAGAAAGCCACGGCUAACUACGUGCCAGCAGCCGCGGUAAUACGUAGGUGGCAAGCGUUAUCCGGAAUUAUUGGGCGUAAAGCGCGCGUAGGCGGUUUUUUAAGUCUGAUGUGAUAGCCCACGGCUCAACCGUGGAGGGUCAUUGGAAACUGGAAAACUUGAGUGCAGAAGAGGAAAGUGGAAUUCCAUGUGUAGCGGUGAAAUGCGCAGAGAUAUGGAGGAACACCAGUGGCGAAGGCGACUUUCUGGUCUGUAACUGACGCUGAUGUGCGAAAGCGUGGGGAUCAAACAGG